rnacentral:rRNA from 1 species
AUUGAACGCUGGCGGCAUGCUUUACACAUGCAAGUCGAACGGUAACAGGCCGCAAGGUGCUGACGAGUGGCGAACGGGUGAGUAAUGCAUCGGAACGUGCCCAGUCGUGGGGGAUAACGCAGCGAAAGCUGCGCUAAUACCGCGUACGAUCUGUGGAUGAAAGCGGGGGACCGAAAGGCCUCGCGCGAUUGGAGCGGCCGAUGUCAGAUUAGGUAGUUGGUGGGGUAAAGGCCCACCAAGCCAACGAUCUGUAGCUGGUCUGAGGGGACGACCAGCCACACUGGGACUGAGACACGGCCCAGACUCCUACGGGAGGCAGCAGUGGGGAAUUUUGGACAAUGGGCGCAAGCCUGAUCCAGCAAUGCCGCGUGCAGGAAGAAGGCCUUCGGGUUGUAAACUGCUUUUGUACGGAACGAAACGGUCCGGGUUAAUACCCUGGGCUAAUGACGGUACCGUAAGAAUAAGCACCGGCUAACUACGUGCCAGCCGCCGCAGUAACAC